CAGUAGCCGCGGGAAUACGAAGGGGGCUAGCGUUGUUCGGAAUUACUGGGCGUAAAGCGCACGCAGGCGGAUACUUAAGUCAGGGGUGAAAUCCCGGGGCUCAACCCCGGAACUGCCUUUGAUACUGGGUAUCUCGAGUCCGGAAGAGGUGAGUGGAAUUCCGAGUGUAGAGGUGAAAUUCGUAGAUAUUCGGAGGAACACCAGUGGCGAAGGCGGCUCACUGGUCCGGUACUGACGCUGAGGUGCGAAAGCGUGGGGAGCAAACAGGAUUAGAUACCCCAGUAGUCCCUGUCUCUUAUAC
rnacentral:rRNA from 1 species